rnacentral:rRNA from 1 species
UACAUACUGUGCGAACGUUAUUCGGAUUCACUGGGCUUAAAGGGUGCGUAGGCGUCUUGUUAAGUAGGAUGUGAAAGCCCCCGGCUCAACCGGGGAACUGCAUUCUAAGCUGACUCGCUAGAGUGAGAUAGGGGUGUGUGGAACUGCCAGUGGAGCGGUGAAAUGUGUUGAUAUUGGCAGGAACGCCGGUGGCGAAAGCGACACACUGGGUCUCUACUGACGCUGAGGGACGAAGGCGUGGGGAGCGAACAGG